UCCGUGCAUAGUUUCUAUAACCUUUCUCUUGAUGAUGCAAUCCUCUUCCAAAGAUUUUUCUUGCUUUAUCCAUAGGUCAUCCAUAAUUGGCAACAUUAGUUCUUGGCCUUGGUAUUCAUUUAAUCUACAAGGCUUAAAUAGCUUCAAACUUUUUAGUAUUGACUACUGAGUACACCUCCAUGUAUGGUAACAAAUCAAGCUAGAAGGCAUUCUCUCCUAUCUUCUUCAGAAUUUUGAGAGAACCAUAUAUUACCUUUAGUUUCUUUCCUUCACCCUUCAAUCUAUCCUCCGAGUGGAGGCCGACUAGCUCCUACCCUUGGAAGUUACGCUUUAUGCGAUGCUUAUUAUGUCGGUUCUUAUAAUAUUGCUAUGAUAUAUAUACCUAUGCCUCAAUCUCUUAAUGCAUUUUUUCGAUAUUCUCAAGAAACCUUUAAGCUCAUGCUUGGUCUCCCUCCUCACUACUCUUUGGUGUAGAACCAACUCUAAACUCUAGGUCGAAG
rnacentral:lncRNA from 1 species